GGGGGGGGGGAGAGAGUACGAUGAGGGUCGAACCCUAAACAGUUAGGGCAAGUAUGGACAUAACCAUUCCAGCUUUAUACAGGUCUGAAUUUGAAUUAAUUCAUUAUUCAAUAUCUGACACAUCAUAGGUUUGUGACACAUAAUAAAUGUGGUCUAAGAUUUUCAAAAGUUGAAAUUUGGCAAUUACCUAUUAUAUUGUCCAAUAUCCGAAAUCUAAAUAUAUUGCUAGAUUCAACAUAUCAAAGAACCCUAAGAAUUGCUUGUUUUAAGUGCCGUUUUGGCCCCUUAUUUCUAAAAAGUUUUUGUCUGGCAACAAAGUAUUUACGGACAACGAACACAUCGCAAAAACAUUAUACUGCGUCAAAUCUAUAAAUAUAAACAAUUGAAUACCACCAUUUUAUUUUAAAAAAAAAUCAAAAUUAAAGGCUCCCUUAAUUUCUUCCUAUCCCCUCUUUAUGGGGUUGCAAAUGACCGGUCCAUUAUAUUAGUCAUUACCCUAUCAAUGUCCGGUUUUUGUCCAUUUUUGUGUCUUUCUUCAGAAAAGUGAUAUAUAAAGACAAACUUCCACAGCUAAAAUGAUCAGCAAAGCAAACUUUACAAAAACAAUGAACAUACUGGAAAUUCAUGUAUUUACUUCUUUAAAAAA
rnacentral:lncRNA from 1 species